UGGCUGUGGCAGGGAUUUGGCUGAGCUGUGCUGGGCCUCUGGUGAGCGCACGAGGUUUGCCAGUGGAGAAGCCAUCUCGUGACGUGUAUGGGCCCGAACAUGACAGAAGAGCUCAGCUGCUGUGCUCUUGUCCCCCUUAGUUAGGAGCUGGUGGUUUAAUUUUGCUUUAGGCAGACCUAAAGAGCAAGUUGAAAGCCCAUUGACUGCACGCUAACAAAAGCAGGAAAAUGCAGCUUUACGGGAGUGACUGCCACACAAAUCUCUCUAGAGGGAGGCAGAGAGCUAUUUCUACAGGAAGAUUUGAUAGUUUAUGUGUGCAGCACAAUCAGGAGCAACAGAAAAGCACUCUUUGUCAAGUGUGUUUCAGGUGGCAGCACAGGUUAUGCUAGUGGCAAAGUCCUUAAAUAUUCACCUCCAUCAUCUGCUCAGCAGGAUUUUUCUCUUGCAAAAGCUGCACAGCACUUUUCCUGCAAUUGCAGCUCUCUGACCAUAGCCCAUCUUGUGCAGAACCAGGGGGUGCUUGCAGGGAACCAGCUCUGAACUGGGGGCUGCCUAAUCAGGACUGGAAGUCAUAACAAAGUAGCCUGGUCCUCGCAGCUGUGCUUCCAGGAUGGCAGCUAAUUAUUUCAGAACUGACGUGGCCACAGAAAAAUUCUCCUUCAUUUUGGGUGCAUUUAAUAAGACCAUCUUCAAGUCAGUGAAGUCUGUAAAGUCACAAUUUAGCCACUCAGAUUGGUUUCAUAUCAGUACAAGUGAACUGCCUGACAUGAUCAUACUCCUUUUUAUCAGCUGUCGGCUUCAUAUCUGAACUCGGAGCUCUCUCAAAGUCUGGGGUCAGCACAAGCUCGCGCUCUCCGAGCCCCUCCAGCAGCCGUGGCAGCGUGGACCCUGACACGACAAGCCAAGAGCUCCCGCAGCAUCUCCCCCCACCUCUGCCAUCGUGUCAGCAGGAGGGAGAGGGAGCGCAGAGAUAUGGGUACAGCCGCCUCGCCUAACGCAGAGCAGAGAGGAGGAGUAUUUCCUUCAGCUUUGGAACAGGUACCGUGUGAAGGGCAAUUGCAGCUGAGGAAAGAAAAGAAUAGUUUCACAGUGGUAAGGAGAGAGACAGCCUGGAGAAGCAUGGCACGUGAGGCUAUCAAGGGCUUUCUCCAUGGCUAGCUGGGCCAUGCCUUUGUGUUUGGAAGUCGCUGAAACCGAAGAAAGAAAGGCCUGUUGCCAUGACUGGCAGGGUCUCAUUAUUCACUAUUCCAUGGCUUAUGGUUUAAUGCUUGUUUAACUGGAUUUUUUUUUUUCCCUGACUUUUGAUUUCUUUUUGCCAACUUUAUAUUUUAAUACAUGUUUUUAUGGAAAUAUUUAUAGUGCACAUGUUGCAUAUAAAACACCAUCAU